rnacentral:rRNA from 1 species
CUAUGAGAUGAGCCUGCGUCGGAUUAGCUAGUUGGUAGGGUAAUGGCCUACCAAGGCGACGAUCCGUAGCUGGUCUGAGAGGACGAUCAGCCACACUGGGACUGAGACACGGCCCAGACUCCUACGGGAGGCAGCAGUGGGGAAUAUUGGACAAUGGGGGAAACCCUGAUCCAGCAAUGCCGCGUGUGUGAAGAAGGCCUUCGGGUUGUAAAGCACUUUCAGUGGGGAAGAAAUUCUCAAGGCUAAUACCCUUUUGAGCGUUGACGUUACCCACAGAAGAAGCACUGGCUAACUCUGUGCCAGCAGCCGCGGUAAUACAGAGAGUGCAAGCGUUAAUCGGAAUCACUGGGCGUAAAGCGCGCGUAGGUGGAUAUUUAAGUCGGAUGUGAAAGCCCUAGGCUUAACCUGGGAAUUACAUCCGAUACUAGGUAUCUCGAGUAUGAUAGAGGGAAGUGGAAUUUCCGGUGUAGCGGUGAAAUGCGUAGAUAUCGGAAAGAACAUCAGUGGCGAAGGCGGCUUCCUGGAGCAAUACUGACACUGAGGCGCGAAAGCGUGGGGAGCAAACAGGAUUAGAGACCCUGGUAGUCCACGCCGUCAACGAUGAGAACUAGCUGUUGGAAAGUUUAAUUUCUAGUAGCAAAGCUAACGCGUUAAGUUCUCCGCCUGGGGAGUACGGCCGCAAGGUUAAAACUCAAAGAAAUUGACGGGGGCCCGCACAAGCGGUGGAGCAUGUGGUUUAAUUCGAUGCAACGCGAAAAACCUUACCUACCCUUGACAUCCUCGGAACUUGUCAGAAAUGACUUGGUGCCUUUGGGAACCGAGUGACAGGUGCUGCAUGGCUGUCGUCAGCUCGUGUCGUGAGAUGUUGGGUUAAGUCCCGUAACGAGCGCAACCCUCGUCCUUAGUUGCCAGCGGUUCGGCCGGGAACUCUAAGGAGACUGCCGGUGAUAAACCGGAGGAAGGUGAGGAUGAUGUCAAGUCAUCAUGGCCCUUACGGGUAGGGCUACACACGUGCUACAAUGGGCAGUACAAAGGGUUGCCAAACCGUGAGGUAAAGCUAAUCCCAAAAAGCUGCUCGUAGUCCGGAU